rnacentral:rRNA from 1 species
UACAGAGGUCUCAAGCGUUGUUCGGAUUCAUUGGGCGUAAAGGGUGUGUAGGUGGCGCGCUAAGUCGGGGUGUGAAAUUUCGGAGCUUAACUCCGAAACUGCAUUCGAUACUGGCGUGCUUGAGGACUGGAGAGGAGACUGGAAUUUACGGUGUAGCGGUGAAAUGCGUAGAUAUCAGGAAGAACACCCGUGGCUAAGGCGGCUCUCUAGUACGGUACUGACGCUGAGACGCGAAAAGCGUGGGGAGCGAACAGG